rnacentral:rRNA from 1 species
AUUGAACGCUGGCGGCAGGCCUAACACAUGCAAGUCGAACGGUAACAGGAAACAGCUUGCUGUUUCGCUGACGAGUGGCGGACGGGUGAGUAAUGUCUGGGAAACUGCCUGAUGGAGGGGGAUAACUACUGGAAACGGUAGCUAAUACCGCAUAACGUCGCAAGACCAAAAGAGGGGGACCCUCGGGCCUCUUGCCAUCGGAUGUGCCCAGAUGGGAUUAGCUUGUUGGUGGGGUAACGGCUCACCAAGGCGACGAUCCCGUAGCUGGUCUGAGAGGACGACCAGCCACACUGGAACUGAGACACGGUCCAGACUCCUACGGGAGGCAGCAGUGGGAAUAUUGCACAAUGGGCGCAAGCCUGAUGCAGCCAUGCCGCGUGUAUGAAGAAGGCC